rnacentral:rRNA from 1 species
CCAGCACCCGCGGUAAUUCCAGCUCCAAUAGCGUAUAUUAAAGUUGCUGCAGUUAAAAAGCUCGUAGUUGGAUUUCUGGCUUGAUACAGUUUACCGGCCACGGUUUCGUGUGUUAGUGUUUGCUGUUCUGGCCAUCCUUCCAAUCGCUGCUCACUUUUCUUCAUUGAUUGGUGAGUGGUAUUGGAUCUUUUACUUUGAAAAAAUUAGAGUGUUUCAAGCAGGCUUUAUGCUAUGAAUACAUUAGCAUGGAAUAAUAAUUUAGGACUUCGGUUCUAUUUUGUUGGUUUCUAGGACUGAAGUAAUGAUUGAUAGGGAUAGUUGGGGGUGCUAGUAUUCAGCGGCCAGAGGUG